ensembl:ncRNA F56E10.6 ncRNA
CUAAGCCUACGCCUAAGCAUAAGCCCAAACCUUAGCCUAAUCCUAAGCAAAAGCAUAAGCCUAAGCCUAAGCCUAAA